CGAGCGGCGGACGGGUGAGUAACACGUGGGCAACCUACCCAUGAGAUCGGGAUAACUCCGGGAAACCGGAGCUAAUACCGAAUAACCCAGUGAACUGCAUGGUUCACUGGUAAAAGGCGGUUUCGGCCGUCACUCAUGGAUGGGCCCGCGGCGCAUUAGCUAGUUGGUAAGGUAACGGCUUACCAAGGCAACGAUGCGUAGCCGACCUGAGAGGGUGAUCGGCCACACUGGGACUGAGACACGGCCCAGACUCCUACGGGAGGCAGCAGUAGGGAAUCUUCCGCAAUGGACGAAAGUCUGACGGAGCAACGCCGCGUGAACGAUGAAGGUCUUCGGAUCGUAAAGUUCUGUUGUUGGGGAAGAACAAGUGCCAGAGGAAAUGCUGGUACCUUGACGGUACCCAACCAGAAAGCCACGGCUAACUACGUGCCAGCAGCCGCGGUAAUACGUAGGUGGCAAGCGUUGUCCGGAAUUAUUGGGCGUAAAGCGCGCGCAGGCGGUUCCUUAAGUCUGAUGUGAAAGCCCACAGCUCAACUGUGGAGGGCCAUUGGAAACUGGGGAACUUGAGUACAGAAGAGGAGAGUGGAAUUCCACGUGUAGCGGUGAAAUGCGUAGAGAUGUGGAGGAACACCAGUGGCGAAGGCGACUCUCUGGUCUGUAACUGACGCUGAGGCGCGAAAGCGUGGGUAGCAAACAGGAUUAGAUACCCUGG
rnacentral:rRNA from 1 species